rnacentral:snoRNA from 1 species
AAGCUAUGAUGUGGGCACUUCCUUAAUAAGUCCUUGAAUCUCUCCCAAGCUUCAUACAAACUCUCUUGAUCAUGGUGGGCAAAUGUCAUUAUCUCAUUAGGAAGCUU